AGUCCAUCCUCUCCGUCUUUUGCUUUCUCCACCUUUCAAGAAAUGUGUGCUCAAACGGGCGAAUUGGAGAUUUUCCCCUGAUGUCGUCAAGAAGGGCGAUGCCACCUCCCCCCGGGUGGGUGACACUCCCCGAGCUAGGUGUGUGUUCCGCCCACUGAGUCCGUGUUGCAGACGGCAUCGUUACUUCCCUCCCGAACACUGGCUUUCGGUAGAACAAUGUCGAAGGUACGAGGGAAACACAGUAGUUGCUUUGUUGUUGGCUGCACAAACCAACACAGAACUCUUUUUUUAACCCCUACACCCGAGGAUCUGAAGACCCGGUGGAUUAAUUUUAUUUUUGAUGGAAAUGUACCCGCUCCACUCCGUGUGUGCUAACCAUUUCACCUCGGAUUGCUUUCUCAACCUGGGCCAGUACAAUGCAGGAUUUGCUACAAGUCUCAAGAUAAAGCUUGGAUCAGUACCGACUGUCCGUGACCCAACUUUGAACUUGGGAGCUCACAUCAAGUGCAUCUAUACAGCUUCCUGCAACAAGGGAUGUUGCAUGCCAGACUGACCCACUGUAGGCACACAGUUAUCCUUGAAGACUCUUCAGCCUCACAUCAGAAGUACAGACUCCUGACCGACCACAAGCCCAAACAAAAGAAGGAGAACCACUGUUCAAUGUCCAAUUUCCAAAGAAGCUGCUUUGGCCAUCCCCAUCCCAGAGGACCUCACUGCACAGUUCGAGCGGCCUGAGAGGAGAAGGAGGAGGUCAUAUCCAGCUCUGUGUCCCGGUUCUAUCAUGGGCCAGUCUAAAACCCACGUACUGGCAUGUGGCGUCAGGAAACUCGGCAUGGAUGCGCAGGACCACGCAGGCUGGAAUGACGACCCAGAUUCUGCGACCAAGGAAGCCCCAGCACCAGCUCACAAAGCUCCUAUAGACUAGAUACCUGUAUCGACUAAAACAACUGGACAGGGCAUUUAGUCUUGCAAACAUAUAUCUAUGAUGUGUCUCACAAAUUUUUUUAUGGAUCCAGUGAAUCCUACAGUUUUUUUUAUUAUCACUGAUUAUAACUGCUUCAUUUGAUGUAAAUAAAUACUUGAUUGUUACUAAAGAAAUGACUCCUGAAUUCAUAUAUUAUAUGCACACUAUCUGCUGAUAGAAGAACUUUACAAAUCAAAGAGCAGCUAAACUAAUUCAUUUGAGGGUGUGUUACUCUAUUUGUGGUCUGUUAUUACCAUUGUAAAAUUAUGUGCACUGAAGUAAAACAAGACUGCCUAACAUCUUUUAUUUAGAUUGAAACUAUGUUUUAACAAAGAAGCAAAACAUACUGG